rnacentral:rRNA from 1 species
GGGUCAGUAGGCUGGUCGUGCCACCGGUACGUACUGGUCUCACUGAUUCCUCCUUCCUGAAGAACCGUAAUGCCAUUAAUUUGGUGUUGCGGGAAACAGGACUGUUACUUUGAAAAAAUUAGAGUGUUUAAAGCAAGCUAACGCUUGAAUACAUUAGCAUGGAAUAAUGAAAUAGGACGAUCGAUCCUACUUUGUUGGUCUCUAGGAUUGACGUA